UACGUAGGGUGCAAGCGUUGUCCGGAAUUAUUGGGCGUAAAGAGCUCGUAGGCGGUUCGUCGCGUCGGCUGUGAAAUCCCGAGGCUCAACCUCGGGUCUGCAGUCGAUACGGGCGGACUGGAGUUCGGCAGGGGAGACUGGAAUUCCUGGUGUAGCGGUGAAAUGCGCAGAUAUCAGGAGGAACACCGGUGGCGAAGGCGGGUCUCUGGGCCGAUACUGACGCUGAGGAGCGAAAGCAUGGGGAGCGGACAGG
rnacentral:rRNA from 1 species